UUCAUUUUAGCAAUAGCUAUUAAAGAAAAUAAUAUACAUCAUCCCUCAACUCCUCUACACAUCAAGGACAACAAGUGAACGACCAAAUAGAUCAUAUAAUACUUGGUUGAUCACAUGGAACUACAAAUGAAAAACACAGCUUCUUCCCUCUACUUCUGGAUUGCAAAACAUCUUUUGCAUUUGGAACAAUCAAACAUUAGUUUCAAAAAAAC
rnacentral:lncRNA from 1 species